AGUCGUAACAAGGUUUCCGUAGGUGAACCUGCGGAAGGAUCACUAAAGAAUUCGCCCUUCGGGGCUCUCUUUAUUCACACACCCCUGUGCACUUUGGCCACCUCUUUGUUGAGGUGUGUCUUUUUAAUUACCAUACCCUAUAAACACAAGUUAUUGAAUGUAAAAUCGUUAUAAACUAAUAUAACUUUCAACAACGGAUCUCUUGGUUCUCGCAUCGAUGAAGAACGCAGCGAAUUGCGAUAAGUAAUGUGAAUUGCAGAAUUCAGUGAAUCAUCGAAUCUUUGAACGCAUCUUGCGCUCUUUGGUAUUCCGAAGAGCAUGCCUGUUUGAGUGUCAUGAAACUCUCACCUCCAAUCUUUUUUAACUAGAAGGUUGGGGCGUGGACGUGAGUGUUGCUGGUGCCCUGGCUGCAUCGGCUCACUUGAAAUUCAUUAGCUGAAUCCUUUAAAGUAGGUUCUACUCGACGUGAUAAGAUCUCCGUCGAGGACAGUGCUUCGGCAUUGGCCAACGAUAAAGUUGAUACGCUUCUAAUUAGCGCAGACUUCGAGUGCUGGCAAUUUUGACAACUUGGCCUCAAAUCAGGUAGGACUACCCACUGAACUUAAGCAUAUCAAUAUAAAAGUCG
rnacentral:rRNA from 1 species